UACGUAGGGUGCGAGCGUUAAUCGGAAUUACUGGGCGUAAAGGGUGCGCAGGCGGCCCUGUAAGACCGGUGUGAAAUCCCCGGGCUCAACCUGGGAAUUGCGCUGGUGACUGCAGGGCUAGAGUACGGUAGAGGGGGGUGGAAUUCCUGGUGUAGCAGUGAAAUGCGUAGAGAUCAGGAGGAACACCGAUGGCGAAGGCAGCCCCCUGGGCCUGUACUGACGCUCAUGCACGAAAGCGUGGGGAGCAAACAGGAUUAGAUACCCUGGUAGUCCACGCCCUAAACGAUGAGAACUAGCCGUCUGGAGUCUUCGUGCUCUGGGUGGCGCAGCUAACGCGUGAAGUUCUCCGCCUGGGGAGUACGGCCGCAAGGUUAAA
rnacentral:rRNA from 1 species